UAAUAUUUAUACGGACCUGCAUAUGACAGAUGUGGAUUUAAGAUCACCACUAGACGCCAUCUGCCAUCAGCCCUUUUCCCAUGGGAGCAGUCAGAGCUCAGUAGCAGACUUAUAUGGAAGGAGAAGAGUGUCAGGGGCUUCUCCAGGCACGACACAUGGAGACCUUGAUAAAUUAUCCAGCCCCAGGGUUGACAGUUCAGCUUACCUUCAAGCAUAUUGAUCAAUGAGAAGCUUCUGUCCCAUUUCUGCCCAGUCUGUCCUUGCACUGAUGACCAGAGGAUAUCUGAUCCAUGUUUACCAAUCCAGCUGUUCUGUUGGAGCUAAGAAUGUCUUCAGUGACUUAAUAUACAGUGGAGAGAUUUCAAAUUUCCUCUAAAAAUCAGCUUCAUAGCAAUUAUGGAGACACUGCAAGUGUGUUCAUGUAUGCUUAUAAGUGACUGGAAGUGAGGUGUGAAAUGGUUGUGAAAUGCAAAUCAGCCAAACUCCAAUGACUAAGUGGAGCGACACUGGUUGUCCCAGCUGCAGAUCUGAUUGCUAGGAUACAUUUAAUAUAUUACAGAAAGCAAGGAAUUCAGCUUCCAACAAGAAAAAAAAACACCAAAGAAAUUGUAUGCCCAAAUCUGAGGUUGUUCUGCAUCCACGACUGGAAGAAGUUGGAGCUGGUGCUGUCUUGGGCCUAUUCUAGGAAGAAGGUGAUGUCUUUUUUGAGCUGUAAUGCGAAAGAUGCACCCUUCUGCAUAAAUUUCCAUCAGGUAAAGUAAUGUAGACUCCAGCAUCACUUGGGAAGAAAUGAAAUUGUUGAAUAAAAGAUCAGCAUGGGAUUCAAGUCUCUCCUUGAAAGGAAACACGCUGGCUCCCCUGGGGAAUUUCUUUAACAGAUGGAAAUCCUUAUCCUUAAAGAUAAAGAUUGUGUCUUCAAAAGAGGGUAAAAUACAUUUUUUUUGUUUGUUUUUAGCUCCCAACAUUAUUACUCUUAAUAAAACCUGAAGAUACUA